rnacentral:rRNA from 1 species
AUUGAACGCUGGCGGCAGGCCUAACACAUGCAAGUCGAACGAGUGGCGGACGGGUGAGUAAUGUAUGGGAAACUGCCUGAUGGAGGGGGAUAACUACUGGAAACGGUAGCUAAUACCGCAUACCAUCGGAUGUGCCCAGAUGGGAUUAGCUAGGAGGUGGGGUAACGGCUCCCCUAGGCGACGAUCCCUAGCUGGUCUGAGAUGAUGACAAGCCCCAUUGGAACUUAUACACGGUCCAUCAUCCUACGGUAGGCAGCAGAGGGGAAUAUUGCACAAUGGGCGCAAGCCUGAUGCAGCCAUGCCGCGUGUAUGAAGAAGGCCUUCGGGUUGUAAAGUACUUUCAGCGGUGUGGCGUUACCCGCAGAAGAAGCACUGGCUAACUCCGUGCCAGCAGCCGCGGUAAUUC